rnacentral:misc_RNA from 1 species
GAUGGAGAACGUAGCGAAAUGCGAAAAGUAAUGUGAAUUGCAGAAUUCAGUGAAUCAUCGAAUCUUUGAACGCACAUUGCGCCCGCUGGUACUCCGGCGGGCACGCCUGUCCGAGCGUCAUUUCAACCCUCAAGCCCUCCUUCGGGAUGGGCCUGGUGUUGGGGCUCGGCCGCCAUCUCCGGCGGCCGUCCCCUAAAUACAGUGGCGGUCACGUCGCGACUCCUUUGCGUAGUAGAAACACCUCGCUCCGGAUAGCAACGCGGUCCACGCCGUAAAACCCCCAAUUUUCAAUGGUUGACCUCGGAUCAGGUGGGAAUACCCGCUGAACUUAAGCAUAUCAAUAAGCGGAGGA